GGUGCUGAGGGAGUGCACUCCCCCACCUGCUUAGACAUACCCUAUAUAAACAGCCAGCCCCAUCGGGAUAAACCCAGAUCCCACGGCGACUGAUUUUGGUGGUCAUUACAGACUUUGGCUGCAGGAGGAUGUCAGCACCUCCUUUAAAGGUGUCUCAACAUUCUUCCUUAACAGGAAGGCUACAGUUCUAACCAUUGCACUAUCCGAUUUUCUGUGAGCAUCACAGAUAGCACAGGGCCUUCAUCGCAAUUUCAGGAGGGAAGUGCUUAACCGCACCCCAACCUACCCAUCCCGGCUUCGUGCGGCGGUGCUGGCCCCCCCCUGGCCCAGCCGGUUACGGGUGCUCGCCCCCACCCCUGUUUGGCUUUCAUCUGCCAUCCCCGGCUUUGUUGUUGGGGGUCU